AGCUAGACAAGUACUGGUCUCAGCAGAUUGAGGAGGGCACCACAGUGGUCACCAAGCAGUCUGCUGAGGCUGGAGCGGCUAAGAUGACACU
ensembl:miRNA